AUAAAUGCAGGGCUCGGCAGGCAGCAGCAGAACUCCCUGCUCAGCAGACGGGUUCUCCGCCGCUCCGCCCGGCCCUGCGCGGCCCAGCCCUCCGCCGAGGACCCCAGAACACAGAACCGUGCCCCCGUGUGAGACCCCACUUUUCACAGGAGUGGGGGCCAUGGAUCUAGACGCCUCGGAAGAGGAGGGGACGAGGCUGAGAUGCCGGCGGGGUCCACACGUGGGCUCUGGGUUGGGGCGACUGCUGCUUCUUAAUGUGGGUGUUACCGUUUGUGAUCCUGGGCACGAGUGGGUUUUCUGAUCCGAAAUGUCAACAGAGCUAAUUGCAUUUAAAUCCAUGGAGUGUGGUGAAGUUCUGACAAUAAACAGAAUUUGGAGCUAA